rnacentral:rRNA from 1 species
AAUCUUCCACAAUGGGCGACAGUCUGAUGGAGCAACGCCGCGUGAGUGAAGAAGGAUUUCGGUUCGUAAAACUCUGUUGUUAGGGAAGAACAAGUACAGUAGUAACUGGCUGUACCUCGACGGUACCUUAUUAAAAAGUCACGGCUAACUACGUGCCAGCAGCCGCGGUAAUACUCAGGUGGCAUGCGUGGUCCGGAAUUAUUGGGCGUAAAGCGCGCGCAGGUGGUUUCUUAAGUUUGAUGUGAAAGCCCACGGCUCAACCGUGGAGGGUCAUUGGAAACUGGGAGACUUGAGUGCAGAAGAGGAUAGUGGAAUUCCAAGUGUAGCGGUGAAAUGCGUAGAGAUUUGGAGGAACACCAGUGGCGAAGGCGACUAUCUGGUCUGUAACUGACACUGAGGCGCGAAAGCGUGGGGAGCAAACA